rnacentral:lncRNA from 1 species
ACCUAAAAAUGUCCUAAAUAACCCAAAAAUCAGACCCAAGGCCUACUCAGCAAAUUUUAAAAUUCUAGCACGGCGGCGAUCCACCUCGGGUUGGUUGUUUUCAGCCAUCUUCGACCUAAUUCAGUCAAAUUUACAUCGGUUCCUGCGAGAAAACACACUUAGGGCCUUCGGUGGGCUGAAAAAAUGUAAAAAUCGAAACUCACUGACGGUGGGGCUCU